rfam:Gonium pectorale scaffold00002, whole genome shotgun sequence.
UACCCGGUGUUUUUAAACACCACAAUGACAUAUAUAACGUGUGCAU